CGGUGAUUAGGCAAGCGGUAUGCCGUCUGCUUUGGGAGCAGAAAAUCGCAGGUUCGAUCCCUGCAUCACCGACCA
rnacentral:tRNA from 1 species